rnacentral:tRNA from 1 species
GGGAGGGUGCCCGAGCGGCCAAAGGGAGCGGUCUGUAAAAUCGCCGGCGUAGCCUACGGAGGUUCGAAUCCUCCCCCUCCCACCA